GAGGAAGUAAAAGUCGUAACAAGGUCUCCGUUGGUGAACCAGCGGAGGGAUCAUUAAAGAGUUGCAAAACUCCCAAACCAUUUGUUUAUCUACCUGUUUCGUUGCUUCGGCAGGCGGCUCUUCGGGGCCUUCGCCCUCUGGGUGCCUGCCGGAGUAUCUAAAAACUCUUUGUCAAUUACUGUUCUGUCUGAGUAAACUUUUAAUAAGUUAAAACUUUCAACAACGGAUCUCUUGGUUCUGGCAUCGAUGAAGAACGCAGCGAAAUGCGAUAAGUAAUGUGAAUUGCAGAAUUCAGUGAAUCAUCGAAUCUUUGAACGCACAUUGCGCCCAUUAGUAUUCUAGUGGGCAUGCCUGUUCGAGCGUCAUUUCAACCCUCAAGCACUGCUUGGUGUUGGGGCGUCUGCAGCUCCGGCUGCAGGCCCUGAAAAACAGUGGCGGGCUCGCUAUAACUCCGAGCGUAGUAAUCUCUCUCGCUUUGGAAGUGUAGCGGUACCCAGCCGUUAAACCCCCCAUUUUCUGAAUGUUGACCUCGGAUCAGGUAGGAAUACCCGCUGAACUUAAGCAUA
rnacentral:rRNA from 1 species